GACCUUUGGUGGCGUAGUAGUUUGAGUGUUGGACUGUGACUCUGGAGACCAGGGUUCGAUUCCCCGCUCGGCCA